AGAGUUUGAUCAUGGCUCAGAUUGAACGCUGGCGGCAGGCUUAACAUAUGCAAGUCGAGCGGAAACGAUAGUAGCUUGCUACUAGGCGUCGAGCGGCGGACGGGUGAGUAAUACUUAGGAAUCUGCCCAGUAGUGGGGGAUAGCUCCCCGGAAACUCGAAUUAAUACCGCAUACACCCUACGGGGAAAAGGGGGCGCUUGCGCUCUCGCUAUUGGAUGAGCCUAAGUCGGAUUAGCUAGUUGGUGGGGUAAAGGCCUACCAAGGCGACGAUCUGUAGCUGGUCUGAGAGGAUGAU
rnacentral:rRNA from 1 species